rnacentral:rRNA from 1 species
UACAGAGGGGGCAAGCGUUAUUCGGAAUUAUUGGGCGUAAAGGGCGCGUAGGCGGCCUGGCAAGUGGAAGGUGAAAUCCCUCGGCUUAACCGAGGAACUGCCCUCCAAACUGCUUGGCUUGAGACCGGGAGAGGUGAGUGGAAUUCCCAGUGUAGCGGUGAAAUGCGUAGAUAUUGCUCGGAAGGCCAGAGCCGAAGGGGCCCUACUGGUGCGCAACUGACACUGAGGCACGAAAGCGUGGGGAGCAAACAGG